AGAGUUUGUGAAGGGAAACUCCCCCAUAUAAAACCAUCAGAUCUCAUGAGACUUAUUCACUAUCAUGACAACAGUACGGGAAAGACUCAUCCCAUGAUUCAGUUACCUCCCACCGGGUCCCUCCCACAAC
rnacentral:sRNA from 1 species